AAUUAUACUCUGCAAACUAGAUUUGCAACCGCGUUUAACCUCCUCGUUACCCCCUUACCCGCCAGCCGCCCAUAUCGGGCCCCGAAUUUCUCGUUCUCUUACAUUUCCCAAAAUCAAUGAUGUUUGGUCCGAAGGAAUUUUGCAUGAUCCCACCUGUUAUAAUGUUUCAAGCUUGUUGUAUAUACUAUUUCUACUGCAACAGAGGCAUGUACUAUUACCACGGAUCAAACGUGAUCAAGAAGAUUAAGGAUUUGAUUGAGAAGAUCUGGUCUGAGUUUUGGAGGAACAGGAUAAAGUGUCUGGAAGUUGUAUUUCAGCUAUCAAUGGUAGCUUUAACUAGCUUUCUUUUAAAAGACACACAUACAUGGACCGCUAUCUGGAUAGCAAGUAGUGCAAUAUUUGCCAUUCUUUAUAGCUCUUACAAGGCCUGUGUGAAAAUGAAGAGAGCUCAACUUAUGCCACCUGUCAAUAGGAGGUAUUACCGGGUUCUGGGAUACCAGGUGAUUCCAAUUCAUAUAAUCUACAACGUUGCGAGUCAUUGGAAUCCAAGAGGUGUUGUAAUCGACACAUUAUUAAUUGUUGUGGGGAAUGAAGAUGUUGUGGUUCCAAAUGUAGCAGAGGUACUGCAGGAUUUAGGGAUUCAAUCUGUUCCACAAGCUAAUGCACCGGAAGUGACAGUACAAAGAGAUGGGAGGAAUCAGUCUGUUGCGGACACAAGUGUACCAGAAGUUGCAAUACAGAGGGAUUUGGAAGAUCAAUUUGUUGCACAUCCACCAGAAGUGGCAAAGAAUAAUGACGGGGGAACUGAAUCUAUUGCAAAUGCAAAUGUUCCGGAAAUUGCAGUACAGAGAGAUGUGGAUGAUCAAUCUGCUGCUGGUGAACCAGAAGUGCCACAGAAGGAUGAUGAGGAGAAUCAGUCUGUUGAUAAUGAAUAUGCAACGGAGAUCGUUAUACAGAAGUAUGUGGAAGAUCAAUCUGAAUCUGAUGCAGGUCCAUCCGAAGUGGCACAUAAAGAUGAGGAGUAUCAUGAUUUGCACAUGCAGAUGUAGAUACACCGGAAGUUGCUGAGAAUCUAUGUUUGUUAAUACUGAUUUUGUAGAAUAACUGGGCUCCAGUGGUCUUCUUUGCUCUUGCUAACAAGAGGGAAUGAGCAAAGCUGGAGAGCUAGAGUGUCAUUUCCCUCAUUUUUGAUGAACACAAUGCAUAUAUGGAUUCCAGUCUGCACUAUUAUAGUUUUUGCUGGCAUUCAUUCAGGGAAUGAGCAAAGCUGGAGAGCAAGAUGGGUGUAAAUGAAGAGAGCUUAGCUUCCUACAGCAUCAUUAGAAUCUCGGAGGAGCAACAAUACAGUUUGGUUUUUCAUGAAAGAGAUUUUUUAGUCUAGAAACAGGGGUUUCUCAGUUAGCAACGUACCAUUUGUACACUUACAAUUGCCCGUGUUCUUAAACGGGAAGUCUAUCACAUGAAAUUGAUUGUAGUUAUUAUUUUUUAUUUUGUAUAGGAAUAAUUUACUCAGGUAGUAGGAUCCUGAUGGUUAUGGCA